rnacentral:rRNA from 1 species
GACGAACGCUGGCGGCGUGCCUAACACAUGCAAGUCGAGCGAACGGACCAGACGCUUGCUUCUCUGAUGUUAGCGGCGGACGGGUGAGUCACACGUGUAUAACCUACCUAUAAGACUGGGAUAACUUCGGGAAACCGGCGCUUAUCCCGUAUGAUAUUUUGAACCACGUUGUUCAAUAGUGAGAUACGGUCUUUCGGUCACUUCUAGCUGGUUCCGCGCUUCAUUUGCUAGUUGUUAAGGUAAUGGCUUACCAAGGCGAGGAUGCGUAGCCGACCGGAUAGGGUGAUAGGCCACACGGGAAGGGAGACGGGGUCCAGACUCCUAAGGGAGGCAGCAGUAGGGAAUCUUCCGCAAUGGGCGAGAGCCUGACGGAGCAAAGCCGCGUGAGUGAUGAAGGUGUCCGGAGCGGAAAACUCUGUUAUGAGGGAAGAACAGAUGUGUAAGUAACUGUGCAGAUAUUGACGGUACCAAAUCAGAAAGCCACGGCUAACUACGUG